UACGGGAGGGCAGCAGUGGGGAAUAUUGCACAAUGGGCGAAAGCCUGAUGCAGCUAUGCCGCGUGUAUGAAGAAGGCCUUAGGGUUGUAAAGUACUUUCAUCGGGGAGGAAAAACAAAACUAAUAAUUUUAUUUCUUGACGUUACCCGAAAAAGAAGCACCGGCUAACUCCGUGCCAGCAGCCGCGGUAAUACGGAGGGUGCUAGCGUUAAUCAGAAUUACUGGGCGUAAAGAGCACGUAGGUGGUUUUUUUAAGUCAGAUGUGAAAUCCCUGGGCUUAACCUAGGAACUGCAUUUUGAAACUGAAAUACUAGAGUAUCGUAGAGGGAGGUAGAAUUCUAGGUGUAGCGGUGAAAUGCGUAGAUAUCUGGAGGAAUACCUGUGGCGAAAGCGGCCUCCUAAACGAAUACUGACACUGAGGGUGCGAAAGCGUGGGGAGCAAACAGGGAUUAGAUACC
rnacentral:rRNA from 1 species